CGCGGGGUAGAGUAAUGGGUCAACUCAUCAGGCUCAUGACCUGAAGACUGCAGGUUCGAAUCCUGUCCCCGCCU
rnacentral:tRNA from 1 species